AGCUACUAAGGUUUCAGUCAUCUGAAGGCUUAACCAGGACUGCAAGAUCUGCUUCCAAGGAGUUCCUACUGAGAUGCCAGGGUUGUUUUCCACAUAAAAUUUUCCAGAGGGCUGCCUGACUGUCCUCAUGACUUUGCUUCUGUCUUCCUUUAGGAUGAGUGAUCCAGGAGAAAACAAGGCCGGACUGUCAUGUCUUUUAUAACCCAGCCUCAAAGUCACCCAUCAUUACUUCUGCAAGAUACUAUGGACUACACAGGUGGACCCUAUUUAAUGUGGGAGAGGAAUACCUAAAGGGCAUCAUCAAAUCUAUGUGAGCUGUCUCCACAUCUUCAAAGAAAGAAGUACGAAUCUAGAAAAAAACUGCAAAGAAAAGAGAACAAGAAGCAAAGAUUCAUCAAAACAAUUCCCAGAAAAUCGACCCUAUGUAGUAAAAUAAUGAAAAUUUUCAUUGGCAUGUCAGAGCACUUACUCCAGAAUUUUAAAAGUGCACUCACUCCAGAUUUAAAAGUGCACAGAGUACAUGAGAAUGCAGUCUUGGAAUUAUAAUGCCCUAAGGAUAGAAGAGAAAUAAAGCCAUCUGAUGUGACCAUUCCCCCUUUGCCUUGUCCCAUGACUGGAAGUUUUCUGAGGCCUCCCCAGAAGCAGAUGCUGCCAUGCUUCCUGAACAGCCUGCAGAACUACAGGCCAAUUAAAACUUGGGUUUUUUUUUUUUAAAUAAAUUACCUAGUCUCAGUUAUUUCUUUAUAGUA
rnacentral:lncRNA from 13 species